AACGUAGGAGACAAACGUUAUCCGGAGUUACUGGGCGUAAAGAGCUCGUAGGCGGUUUGUCGCGUCUGUCGUGAAAGCUUGGGGCUUAACCCCAAGUCUGCGGUGGAUACGGGCAGACUAGAGGCAGGUAGGGGAGAACGGAAUUCCCGGUGUAGCGGUGAAAUGCGCAGAUAUCGGGAGGAACACCGGUGGCGAAGGCGGUUCUCUGGGCCUGUACUGACGCUGAGGAGCGAAAGCGUGGGGAGCGAACAGG
rnacentral:rRNA from 1 species